ACUUGUGCCCAGAGUUUGAUUUUCCACAGACCAGGUAGAGGCCAAGAGCCUCUCACAGACUCUGCAGCAGGGUUGCUAUGAUUAACUCUUAAGUACUCCACAACUACACGCUUUUGAAACUGGCGUUGGCAUAGCGUUAGUUCUGUGCAGGGCGGACGCAGCAGGACAGAAUCUCCCUGGGCAUCUUUUCGGAGCAUCAAUUUUACUGCAAAAUUUUGAAAAAACAAAUUUAAUUGAUUUCCAAGGUUUGUCAAGGAGGACAGAAACUCAGAGCACCCUGCACUUGGGGAUCGGCACUAGGAGCUGCUCUCUGGAUGGGGAGAUGGGAGCUAGCAGCUCACAAUGGGGUCACAAGACAGGAGUGUUAUUGGGAGAAUCCUGUUUUGUUGACAAAUACUGAGAUCAUCCAACUCACCAGGCAAAGUUGACUUGUGUAAGUGAUCUUCAGAUAUGAAAAGUGUGGAACCCAGCUGCUCCUCCUCAGAUAGGCGACAUGACAAUUGUAGGCCUGGAGGGAGAUGAGUUGACAACAUCCCUUCCCUAUAACCACUUGUUGGAUCUGAUCUCACAUACACAGACUCACUCCAAAGACUGACCUGGGUGUCUGCUUCUCAGCUUCAUUAACAGUGGGUGCUCACAAGUCUAGUGGAGAGAAUGUCUGAGAAGAGGAGGACCUUGACUGCUCCUGAACCGGAGACCUCAGAACCAUGGUGCUCUCCUGUCCAGGCUGAACACUAAUGCUCUUGAGAGUCACAUUGAAGAAAGCCAACAUUUUUAAAUCUAAUGGAUACAUUCAUUUUGUGGUAUGUGAUGUUUAGAAAGAGGGAGCUAAAGUUAGUGGUCAUGAGCUAAAUACCCUGUGAGCAUCUUCACUCUCCUUCUGUAUCACAGACUAAAACCCACUGACUUGAUCAUCUGUCCCUUGCCCCUCGUCCACAUAGUGAACUUCUUCAUUGCACUGUUAUUGCAGUCUCCAAAUCUGUUUGCAUCAUUGAACUUCAGAAUGACUUCAAGUUAACAGGAUCUUCUACACUGUAGCUGCUUCCAGUGUGAGCCAGACAAAUGUACUGAAUAUAGGCCUCAGAGGUGAUCCCACCACCUUCACAGCAAUGGUCCUUCCCCAGGAGCUUCCCCUGAGAAACGGGCCAUCCAGACCAUACUGCUGCUGAAUAAUGUCUCAUUGGAAAUCUCAACAUUCUUCAUUUAGAACACCACCGCCAAUAUCUACCAUAUGCCGGGAUUAUUGUGCAGGGUAAUUUUUAUUAUUACUUGAAUGUAUAUUUAUAUACUGCAGGAACUAUACAUGUUUAUGGCUAGAAUUACUGUUUUUCCUUAAUAUUAAGAUAGUAUUGGUAGAUUUAAUUAUCUGAAUUUAGUCAUUUGGCUCCAGUCAAAAUGGUUUCUCCUUAGCAGUACUCUGACUUUGUAAAAGUAAUCACAUUUGGAUUCUGUUUCCUCCAGUAGUUUUUAAAAUGAUUUUUUUGAUUAUUCAUAUAACUUUUUUUUAAUGAUCUUUUAAAAACUAGUAUGUGGUUAUAUAUUACUUGUUACACUUUUUGUUUUCUUUAUUUUUUGGUUGGUUACACCUUAAAUGAUUAUUUCUAUUGCCUUUUAAUGUUACUUAGAAAAUAUCACAUGUAAGACUUUUGCUUUUAUAAAGUUAGUAAUACAUUUUCAAGCCUAAACUCUUGAAAUUUUAAUAAUUUCUAUGAUAUUUGAAAAUUAUUUUUAUCUUCUUUUGAGUGCUAAAAGAUAAUAUUUGUCUACCUGAUUAACUAGCACAACUUUUAAAAAGUUAUUUAGCACUCUUUAUAUUCAUUCAUUUGUUUU
rnacentral:lncRNA from 1 species